UAGCAUAUAUCUAUUUCAUAUAUGGUUCCCACAUACUAGUAUAGAUAUGUAAUAGUUUGAAAUGUUUACUCACACCAUCCAUAGCAAAACUUCUUGUGAAAUUAGAGAUAAUAGAAGUACAUGACUGCAAACAAAUGGAAGAAAUCCUUGCAAAAGAAUGGGGAGAUGAAGAGAAUAAAGAUGUGAUUGCAUUCCAUCAAGUGAAGACCCUCUGGCUCAUAAAUUUACCAAAAUUAGAAUGUUUUUAUGCUUUUGAGUGGCCAUCCCUAGAUGAAAUAAAAAUGUUGGUUUCAACAAGUACAAAAAUACCUAAGCUAAAUGGAGCGCAGAUGGAGUCUGAAACUUUUCAACCACUUCUACAAGGAGACCUCAAUGCCACAAUACAAAACAUAAUCAAAGAAAAGGUGAUGUUCUCGGAGAUCUCAAAAGUUCCAAGUCUCCAGAUAUAGCAGGUUCAUGUUGGUGCUGGAACAACUGCUAUAGGCACUGGAAUUUCUGAUUGUCUAAGAUUGAAAUUAUAUGAAUGUUUUAGUAUAUCUUUGAUAUAUUAGUCAUUUGGAUUUAGAAAUAAGAGUGAACAAGUCAAAUUAUAUGACGUUAUUGUGAAUGAAAUUGAAUUAUAUGAUUGCUUCCUAUUUCUGAAAACAUGAUUCAACAUCAAGAAAACUCGAAAUGUUUUCUUAUUCAACAUAAGUGUCGGACGACCAUCGUUCCAUUCUUCAGA